GGGGCCAUUAGUGAAUAAACAAGUACCGAGGAACAAACGGAUAGAUCUAUUUGGGUUUUGGCAAGCCCCACUCUUAACGACAACGAUAACCACGAUCGUCAAGAGUGCCUUUGUGUCCAAACUAGUGUCGUUGACACACACGAUAAAUUGUCAAGGAGAUUAGUGGACGGCUGUGGAAAAAUAUGUUCAAGUGGUUAUCAAGAACGCAAGCUUUUGUGAUGUCAUCUGUUUUCGGUUGUUAUGUUUUGAACUUUGAAUAAUGUGGUUAAAGUUGUUGUUGUUUCAAGUUUCAAACAAGACAUAUGUAAUGUAAAUUAUGAUUUCGAAUCAAAUGUAUGGAUGAACAUCUUUUAUGUUU